AGCGAACGCUGGCGGCAGGCUUAACACAUGCAAGUCGAGCGGGCGUAGCAAUACGUCAGCGGCAGACGGGUGAGUAACGCGUGGGAACGUACCUUUUGGUUCGGAACAACACAGGGAAACUUGUGCUAAUACCGGAUAAGCCCUUACGGGGAAAGAUUUAUCGCCGAAAGAUCGGCCCGCGUCUGAUUAGCUAGUUGGUGAGGUAAUGGCUCACCAAGGCGACGAUCAGUAGCUGGUCUGAGAGGAUGAUCAGCCACAUUGGGACUGAGACACGGCCCAAACUCCUACGGGAGGCAGCAGUGGGGAAUAUUGGACAAUGGGGGCAACCCUGAUCCAGCCAUGCCGCGUGAGUGAUGAAGGCCCUAGGGUUGUAAAGCUCUUUUGUGCGGGAAGAUAAUGACGGUACCGCAAGAAUAAGCCCCGGCUAACUUCGUGCCAGCAGCCGCGGUAAGUCUCGCGUGA
rnacentral:rRNA from 1 species